rnacentral:rRNA from 1 species
UUAAUUGAAGAGUUUGAUCAUGGCUCAGAUUGAACGCUGGCGGCAGGCCUAACACAUGCAAGUCGAACGGUAACAGGAAGCAGCUUGCUGCUUCUCUGACGAGUGGCGGACGGGUGAGUAAUGUCUGGGAAACUGCCUGAUGGAGGGGGAUAACUACUGGAAACGGUAGCUAAUACCGCAUAACGUCGCAAGACCAAAGAGGGGGACCUUCGGGCCUCUUGCCAUCGGAUGUGCCCAGAUGGGAUUAGCUUGUUGGUGGGGUAACGGCUCACCAAGGCGACGAUCCCUAGCUGGU